UGGGUAACUGGAGGCGGCUUCUCCGGCCGGGCGGCCCCGCCACCGCGACGCCGGGGCCCUGACGUCACCCGAUUCGCCAGGAAAUGAACUUUUUAAUAAUCCGAGGAGGGAGGAAAGCCCUUGGUCCCCUCGGCUCGGGGGGCUCCCGGCCAGGCCCAGCUCCGCGGGAGCGCCCGUCACCCUCUCCCAGACCAGCUCUGGGCAGCGCCGGGGGGCGCAGGCACAGGCUAGGGGCCUCCUCCUGCCUUUGCGUCCGGCUGUCCGUUGAUCUGUCCGAGGCCCUGGCGGCAGGUAAAGACGCGGGGCUGGAAGCGCAGAGCCCCAUUUGGCUGGGAACCAGCGCGUCUUGGGCGCUUGGGGACCCGCCUGCCCUGGCGGCCCGCUGCGCCUCCCGCUCCGCUCCACUCCGGGGCGCGCGGAGUCCGCCUGGUCUACUCGGAACUCCGCUCCGCAUAAGAGGAGGCCGGCGCCAGCUGGGUAAAGCGCGCCGGGGCCGGGAGUGGGAGCGCGAGGCCGCGGGCGCCGGGCCUCUGCGGCCAGGCCGGGCAGGUGAUUGGCCUCAGUGCCUUCCGGUUCGCGCUACCCGAAACGCGCGCGGUCUGGCCGGGACUCGCUGCCUCUCUGUUCGUCUGUCUCUCCUCCCUGCCUUUAGUUUAUGAUUCUUCAUCAACGCGUAAAAUGCAAUCGUCGGAGCCUCGAGACUGUUUUGCGUCCCUGGAACCUAGGAGGAGCUUAUCAAAGACACCGCCGCCCCGGGGACAAUCCCUGGUGUCAGGCAAGACUGCCCGGCCAGCUCGAACCCCGGGACCCAGCUCAGGAGGCAGCCAGCCGCUUGCCAGACCCGGGGCCGCGAACGCCGGAGCCGAGCGGAAGAUUUCCGUGGGUCUGCGAUCCGCGCCUCGGCUCGCAGGGAGGUGGCUACUCUGGGCGCUCGGGAAAGCAGAUUAUCGGAGCCCUUUCAGAGCGCGCACAACAAAUGCGCCCGCCAUCGAAUGCAUCAUUUACCACCGCAGAUCCGCGCGCUGAUGGGCAGGCAGAUAGCCGUCCGCGGGGGGCACGCCGGGCGCCCUGUGCCCGCGCCGCCUGCCUGCCUGCUUGCCUGCCUGCCGGGGGCACCCGCGCGUGCGCCCCCGGGUGUGCCUGGCAUGUUUGCAUGGACAUUCGCGUGUGCCAGUGGAUGGGCACUGAACAAGAAAGGGUAUUGGUGUGCAUGCGGGCAUGUCAAAGAAGUGUGCUACAAGAAAGCGCAGGUGUGCAAGCCCAUGCUCACGGGCGUGGUGGGCGUGUGUGCUGUGAAUGCCUGGGGGGGGGCAGCUGAGGCUGUUGGAGGGUGCACAGAGGAGGGGGUAUUGCACGUGAGUGCGUAGGCACGAGUGUCACUCAGGGUGGGAAGGCAGGUGUGUGAAGGAGUGGGUGUGCAAAUCCGUGUGUACAGGUGUGGUGGAUGAGCGUAUUGAGUGCCACAACGUACCUGCCCUCGAGGAGGCCGUUGAGGAGUGCACACAGGAGGCGGUGUCAUCUGCCACUAGGUCGCGUGCGAAUGUGUAUAUUCAGACACGGGUGUGUGCCUGCAGGUGUCGACCCUACUCAGUGCUCUGGGUUCCUACGUGCCUGUAAGCAUGCGCAUCCGUGCAUUCCUGUGACUGUCAGGAGUGAGUGUGCCGCGGGUCAGAGUUCACCCCAGUGUGUGCCUUCGGGGUGCACGGAUCUGUGUGAGGGUGGUUGUGUUGUUGUGCAUCUAUAUGCCUGGGUGUGCCCGGUGUGCCGUAGGAGGGGCCGGGGGAAGGGCGGUCGUUGGGGCCUGUCCCUGCGCCUGCCUGGGUAGGCUCAGGACACACGGGCCGGGACCCCUCUCCAGCGUGGGAAAGAGACAGCCAGAGGGGAGAGAAUGGUGUGCGCGGGUGCGACAGACUCCACAGCAAAAGGGGUGGAAUGUGCUAGUGACAGAAAACGGGGUGUGGGGGCGUGUAAGGGAGAAAGGUCUUCGAGGAGUUUGGGGACACCCAGGGGUCCCAAUAGCCUCAACAGGCAUGCCCUGCCGGAGGCCCCAGAGCUCCCCGCUCCGGACCUAGGGAAAGAGAGACCCGAGCCCCGCCGCCUGAGGUCCCCGCGCAGUGAGUGACACGCGCCGCCGACAAAGGCUGUAUUUUUCCAGGCUCGCGCCCCGCCCGCGCGCGCGCGAUGGUCCCCAUGGCGACGCAGAUAGCGCCGCAGCCAUUUUCCCUAUCUCCCCGGAGUCUAUUAUACGGCGGGAUUAGCUCAUCUCCAGGCAGGUCAAACCCAAAGUCACACAACCUGCGGCGCGGGCCCCGCCCCCCGCCCGGCCGCCCCUCCCCCGCCGGGGUCCGGUCUCUGCCAGGCGACCCUCGAGCUAAGGCCCUUGCGCAGGCGCAGAGCGCCACCUGGCGGCCACGGGUGGCCCGAGUUGGGGUCUCCGGGAGCCGGCAGCCUGAACCGGAGUCACCAGGCAGAAGAGCUGUGGCAGGGGUCCUUUCCUCCAGGAGGUGGACUCUCCCAGAAGCUGGGGCUUUGUUUUGUCACUGCUGUGUCCCCAGGGCUGGGCUGACGCACGGUAGAUGCUCCUUAAGUGUUUCUUGAAAGGAGAGAUGGAUGGCAGGAAAUUACAGACCCAGCAAACUGUCAAAGGUCACGCAGCUUAGUUGGCCACAAGAAAUCACUUCUUAGACUGUAUCCACUGAAUUUAGAAUAAAAGCCAAACUGUGCAAUAGCCUUUGCUGACCACUCAGACCUGGUUUCCCCCUUGCUCCAGCGGGAGCAGCCUACCUUCUGUUCUUUGAACAAACCAGAACAUUCCCACUCUCAGGCCUUUGUGUCUGCUGCCCCUUUUACCAAGAGUGUAUUCUGCCUCUGCUCAGAUGGCACCCCUCAGAGAGCAAAAACCGAGCCUUCCGACUUUCCUUGGUCGGCAUUAGGCAUUUCUUUUACAGUAAGGACUUACCACAUUGCAAAAUAGUCUCCUCUCAGGGUGUGCCUGCAGCCAGCUCCCCUGCUCCCUUGGAAUGCUAGGCUCCCUGGGGAAAGGGAGUCUGUUUUGCUUCCCAGCAGUAGCUCAGAGGCUGGGGUCUCCUCUGACAACUGGUUGGCGUUAGUCACAACUUAGGGAAUGAGUGAAUGAGGACAAGGAGAGGCCAGAGCAAGUGAGCCAGACCAUGCCCUGCUAUCUUUAUCAUUUCUCCUUACUAUUAUACCAUUCCCCCCCCCCGCCCCCGCCUUAGCUGCCCCUGUGUUUUGCUCACCCCAGUCCCAGGAUGCCUGCUCCCACCAGCAAGUCCAGAGGGGCCCGGAUAUUUAAGGGAGAGAGCACCAUGGAGGCCCCUCCACAAGGUUGGCCUGCCUUGCCUGGGGGGGGGGGGGGGGGGGGGGAGAGAACACUUCUCACCCUUCACCCUGCAUUCUCAGGGAACCGUGGUCUCUCUGGGAAGGCCGGGGCUGCCGGUUGAGACUUCACUCAUGAUACAAGAUAAUUAUACCUGAGUUGUCAUGAGGCGGUGAUGAUUAAUUGCCGUGCAUGAGUCAUGGAUGGCGAAAUAUCGAGAACGGAGAGAAGGCCACAGCCCGACUGGGCUUCCAGGUGGGAAUCCAGCCAGCCCGUCUCCAGGCCAGAAGGGGCUAAUCAGGCACUAGGCCAAGCCUCGCCCUGCUCAGGUGGGCCGGUGACAAACCCUGUGAGAGGCUUUGCCCGAGGACUCGGAGAAUUGGUGCUCUGUUCUGUCAGAAGUGCCCCAGUUGCCUCCCAGAAGAGGAGCUCCCGGGCCACUCCCCCCAACCUACACACUCACACCCUUUCUGGCCAGGUGGCCUUAGGCAAUCACUUUCCUACUCUGAGCCUCAGGCCUGCUUCCGCAACCUUCCUUCCCGGGUUAUUAUGAGAAUUACUCGUGAGCAUGUAUUUAAAGAGUUGUAGGGGCACCUGGGUGGCUCAUUUGAAUAAGCAGCCGACUCUUGAUUGUGGCUCAGGUCAUGAUCUCUCUAAUCGUGAGUUCGAGCCCCAAAUCGGGCUCUGCACUGAUAGUUCGGAGCCUGCUUGAGAUUGUCUCUCUCUCCUCCUGUCUGCCCCUCCCCGGCUCAUGCUGUCUCUAUCCCUCUCAAAGUAAAUAUAUAAACUUAAAAAAAAAAAAAGAGUUGGGGUGCCUGGGUGGCUCAAUCAAUUAUGCGUCCAACUUUGGCUCAGGUCCUGAUCUCACAGUUCAUGAGUUCGAGCCCCACAUCGGGCCUCUCUGGUGUCAGUGAGGAGCCCGCUUGGGAUCCUGUCUCCCUCUCUCACUGCCCUUCCCCUGCUCUCCCUCUCCCUCAAAAAAUAAACAUUAAAAAAAUAAGUUAAUUAAAGAAAAUAAUGUAUCUGGCCACACGGUUUGGCACUGUGGGUAUACGGUAUUGAAUAAAACCACCAUGGUGCCUGGCCCUCAGACGUAACCACACAGAUUAACACAUCAUCAAAACUUGUGAUAGGAACCCUGAGGGUCAAGGAACACAUAUUUACAGAUACCGGAUCCAAGCUUAUUUGCAGAGACCAACUCUGGGUCAGGUCCUGUGCCGAAAGGUGGGGGCCUGGAAUGAAACCAGAUACUGCCCAACUCACUGUGGGCAGAAACCAAAUACUGUCACUGUGGGCAGACAACUCACAGGAUGGUGGAGAUGCAGACACAUUAAUAGAUUCUGUUCAUUCCAGCCGAUAAGAAUUAGAAGCACAGGGUGCUUGAAGGAGUGACACUUAACCCUAGUUUGAGAGCAUAAUAUAUAAAGAGGGCCAACAAAUCAAUAAGGCAAAAAUACAACCGAAAAAAUCAGGCCAGGUGUAUGAAAAGAAAGUUCACAGAAAAGGAACUCGACACAGCUCUUAGAUGGAUGGAAACAUACUCAGUCUCACUCAGAGAAACGAAGAUGUAAAACACAUUGAAAGAUUUGGGAAGAGAGAAAUGUUCUAAAGUCGGAUUGUAGUGAUGCCUGCAACUCCAUAAAUUUGCUAAAAUUCAUGAAACGUCCAUUUAAAACGAAUAAACUUUAUGGUGUGUAAAUUAUACCACAUAAUGCUGUUUAAACACACAUCUUAAAAUACUUUGAGAUGCCAUUUUAUAUCAAUCAGUAUUAGCCACACCCAAACAUUCGAUUACAUGAUAUGUUCCUGCAGGGGAGUGCCAACUGAUGCAGUCUUGGGGUGGGACGGGCAAUGCGACACGAUUACAAACACGUUUAUGCUUUGAACCAAGAGUUUCGUUUACAGGAUACAGAGAGGCUCUUACACUUGUGGAAUUUGUAAGGAAAUUCACUGCAGCCUUGUACAUUAUGGCAAAUGAUUGCAAAUGAAAGAUGCUUAUCUAGAAGAGAGGUUAAAAGUAUAGUCAUACAACCAAACAGUGCAAUGUUAUGCUGCUAUCAUGAAGAGAGAGAGAGAGAGAGAGAAGAGAAAGAGAGAGAGAGGGGGGAAAGGGAGUGGGGGAAGGAAAGAAGGAAGGGAAGGAGGGAGGGAGGGAGGGACAAAAGAAGAAAGAAAGGGGAAGCUUUUUAUGUAAGGAUAUUGAAUGAUCUGGGGCACCUGGGUGGCUCAGUCAGAAGUGUCUGACUUUGAACUGUCUGACUUCGACUCCAGUCAUGAUCUCAUGGUUCAUGAGUUCGAGCCCAGCGUCAGGUUCUGUGCUGACGGUGUGGAGCCAGCUUGGAUCCUUCUGUCUCCCUCUCUCUGCCCCUCCCCCCGCCAAAAAAUAAAUAAACAUUUUUUAUUUUACUUAUUUUUUUCAAAAUAGCUUUUUUAAUUUUUUUAAAGCUUAUUUGUUUAUUUUGAGAGAGAGAGAGAGAGAGCCCGAGUGCAAGUGGGGAAGGGGCAGAGAGAGAGAGGGAGAGAGAGAAUCCCAAGCAGGUUGCACACCACCAGUGCAGAGCUCAACACAGGGCUCGAACUCACAAACUGCGAGACCUUGACCUGAGACAAAAUCUGACGCCUAACCAACCGAGCCACCCAGGUGCCUCUCAAAAUAGUUUUUAUAUAGUACUUGACUAGUUAA